rnacentral:rRNA from 1 species
CGGGGUGCCUUAAUACAUGCAGUCGAGCGGACAGAAGGGAGCUUGCUCCCGGAUGUUAGCGGCGGACGGGUGAGUAACACGUGGGUAACCUGCCUGUAAGACUGGGAUAACUCCGGGAAACCGGAGCUAAUACCGGAUAGUUCCUUGAACCGCAUGGUUCAAGGAUGAAAGACGGUUUCGGCUGUCACUUACAGAUGGACCCGCGGCGCAUUAGCUAGUUGGUGAGGUAACGGCUCACCAAGGCGACGAUGCGUAGCCGACCUGAGAGGGUGAUCGGCCACACUGGGACUGAGACACGGCCCAGACUCCUACGGGAGGCAGCAGUAGGGAAUCUUCCGCAAUGGACGAAAGUCUGACGGAGCAACGCCGCGUGAGUGAUGAAGGUUUUCGGAUCGUAAAGCUCUGUUGUUAGGGAAGAACAAGUGCAAGAGUAACUGCUUGCACCUUGACGGUACCUAACCAGAAAGCCACGGCUAACUACGUGCCAGCAGCCGCGGUAAUACGUAGGUGGCAAGCGUUGUCCGGAAUUAUUGGGCGUAAAGGGCUCGCAGGCGGUUUCUUAAGUCUGAUGUGAAAGCCCCCGGCUCAACCGGGGAGGGUCAUUGGAAACUGGGAAACUUGAGUGCAGAAGAGGAGAGUGGAAUUCCACGUGUAGCGGUGAAAUGCGUAGAGAUGUGGAGGAACACCAGUGGCGAAGGCGACUCUCUGGUCUGUAACUGACGCUGAGGAGCGAAAGCGUGGGGAGCGAACAGGAUUAGAUACCCUGGUAGUCCACGCCGUAAACGAUGAGUGCUAAGUGUUAGGGGGUUUCCGCCCCUUAGUGCUGCAGCUAACGCAUUAAGCACUCCGCCUGGGGAGUACGGUCGCAAGACUGAAACUCAAAGGAAUUGACGGGGGCCCGCACAAGCGGUGGAGCAUGUGGUUUAAUUCGAAGCAACGCGAAGAACCUUACCAGGUCUUGACAUCCUCUGACAACCCUAGAGAUAGGGCUUUCCCUUCGGGGACAGAGUGACAGGUGGUGCAUGGUUGUCGUCAGCUCGUGUCGUGAGAUGUUGGGUUAAAGUCCCGCAACGAGCGCAACCCUUGAUCUAGUUGCCAGCAUUCAGUUUGGGCACUCCUAAAGUGACUGCC